UGGAGCCCCUUUAAUGUGGGUACAAUAUAUGGAGAGUAGUCCCGAUGCAUGGAUGUCGUAUUCAUCACACCACCCCUAGGGACCCGGGGCGUGUAAAAGGACAGAACCUGAACAACUAUAUAGUAUUCCUCUGCAGGAAGAGCAUGUCUAGAGUGGAAAGUUACAUCUGCUAAACACAGACGGGAGGUCAAAGAUUAUCUAGAAGAGAGCUGUUCAUUGUUAAUAACAAGAUGCUACAUUAUGCAAAAGUACAUGUGGAGAGCAUGUGGAGUAGUUAAUUCAUUAGCAGCUGAUAAAUUGCAGAAGUUUGUAGCCAGCUAGCCCUUUGCAUUCACUUCCAGGCAGUGGAAGAGAGAGAGAGG